CACGAUUUAAUCCUACAAUUGAUGAGACUUUUCAAAAGGUUCUCUCAAAAAACAGGGGCUAUUAAAAAGCAGCGACUUCUCUUCUUAAUUCAUUGCUUCCUAAUUGCUAGAACCUAAGAAACUAUGGAGCCGUUUCAAGAAAACAGGGUGAAUCAGCCGUUGUUGGAGCCAAAAGAACCCGCACGGCAGGUGUCUGGGGAGUAUAUAAGUUCUGAGCUUGAGGAUAUACUAUCGAACACCAGCUUGUCGUGGUGGCGCCGCCUGCAAAAGGCCAUCUGGACCGAGAUGAAGACUCUCUACCUCCUUGCAGCUCCUGCGGUUAUAGUUUACUUGCUUAACAAUGUUACUUCAGUGUCCACUCAGAUUUUCUGUGGCCAUCUUGGCAAUCUUGAACUUGCUGCUGCAUCUCUCGGCAACAACGGUGUUCAACUUCUGGCCUAUGGAAUCAUGGUAACCCUCAAUCACUACUUGCCCCCCAAAAAGUAAAUAAUUAAUACUUAACUAAAUUAUUAUCUAUUAUAAUUCCCUGUCAUACCAAUUCUGCAAAUGAAGAUACUACUUUUGUGCUUGCCAUGAGCAGCUAGGAAUGGGAAGUGCAGUAGAAACGUUGUGUGGGCAGGCAUAUGGAGCUCACAGAUACGAAAUGCUUGGAAUAUACAUGCAAAGAUCAACAAUCCUCCUGAUUGCAACAGGGAUACCAUUGAUGAUAAUUUAUAUUUUCUGCAAGCCAAUUUUGCUCUUGCUAGGUGAAUCAAAAAGGCUUGCAUCUGCGGCAUCUGUGUUCAUCUAUGGCCUAAUCCCUCAGAUUUUCGCGUACGCUGCAAAUUUUCCUAUACAAAAGUUCUUGCAGGCACAAAGCAUAGUGAAUCCCAGUGCAUAUAUAGCAGCAGGUACACUGGUACUGCACUUGCUAUUGACAUGGCUGGUGGUGUAUGUGUUCGGAUGGGGAUUGCUCGGUGCGGCACUGGUGUUGAGUUUAUCGUGGUGGAUUAUAGUGGUGGUACAAUUUGUGUAUAUUUUAUGGACUGAGAAGUGCAAAGCUACAUGGACUGGAUUCAGUUGGAGGGCAUUUCAUGGGCUGUGGGAUUUUUUGAAGAUUUCAACUUCCUCUGCCGUUAUGCUCUGCCUCGAGACUUGGUACUUUCAGAUUUUAAUUCUUAUUGCUGGUUUGCUUCCCAAUCCUGAAAUUGUAUUGGACUCCUUGUCUGUUUGGUAAGGCUAAAUUUCUCCACUUUCUUGUCCAAUUCAAAAAUCAUUUCAUGUUCUGGAAAAUUAAAAUAAUUAGUUAAUUAAUUAAUAUGCAGUGUCACAGUCCUUGGUUGGGUAUUUAUGAUAUCUGUGGGUUUCAAUGCUGCUGCAAGGUAUUUAUGAUAUCCUUUAUUUUCCCUUUUCUCAUUUUUCAGUGGUUUGCUAAGUAUUGAAUUAAUUUUUGCUCUUAAUGAAUUAAAUUCAUUAUUUCCUAAUUAAUUUUAAUAUCCAGUGUAAGGGUUAGCAAUGAGCUUGGAGCUGGACAUCCCAAAUCAGCUGCAUUUUCUGUCGUGGUGGUGACAAUGAAUUCCUUCGUAUUAGCAGUAUUUUUUGCCGUUUUGUCAUAUUUGCUGCGUUAUCAAUUAAGUUAUAUCUUCACCGGCGGAGAAACAGUUUCAAAUGCAGUAGCAGACCUCACACCACUCAUGGCCAUCUCCAUUGUUCUUAAUGGCAUUCAACCUGUUUUGUCUGGUAAAAUAUAAAUUUCCUUUUC
rnacentral:lncRNA from 1 species